rnacentral:rRNA from 1 species
GACGAACGCUGGCGGCGUGCUUAACACAUGCAAGUCGAACGGAAAGGCCCUGCUUUUGUGGGGUGCUCGAGUGGCGAACGGGUGAGUAACACGUGAGUAACCUGCCCUUGACUUUGGGAUAACUUCAGGAAACUGGGGCUCAUACCGGAUAGGAGCUCCUGCUGCAUGGUGGGGGUUGGAAAGUUUCGGCGGUUGGGGAUGGACUCGCGGCUUAUCAGCUUGUUGGUGGGGUAGUGGCUUACCAAGGCUUUGACGGGUAGCCGGCCUGAGAGGGUGACCGGCCACAUUGGGACUGAGAUACGGCCCAGACUCCUACGGGAGGCAGCAGUGGGGAAUAUUGCACAAUGGGCGGAAGCCUGAUGCAGCAACGCCGCGUGCGGGAUGACGGCCUUCGAGUGGUAAACCGCUUUCGCCGGUGACGAAGCGGGAGUGACGGUAAUGGGUAAAGAAGCACCGGCUAACUACGUG